GUAGGUGGCAAGCGUUGUCCGGAAUUAUUGGGCGUAAAGCGCGCGCAGGCGGUUCUUUAAGUCUGAUGUGAAAGCCCACGGCUCAACCGUGGAGGGUCAUUGGAAACUGGAGAACUUGAGUACAGAAGAGGAAAGCGGAAUUCCACGUGUAGCGGUGAAAUGCGUAGAGAUGUGGAGGGACACCAGUGGCGAAGGCGGCUUUCUGGUCUGUAACUGACGCUGAGGCGCGAAAGCGUGGGGAGCAAACAGGAUUAGAUACCCUGGUAGUCCACGCCGUAAACGAUGAGUGCUAAGUGUUAGGGGGUUUCCGCCCCCCUUAGUGCUGCAGCUAACGCAUUAAGCACUCCGCCUGGGAUACGGCCGCAAGGCUG
rnacentral:rRNA from 1 species